UACGUAGGGGGCAAGCGUUGUCCGGAUUUAUUGGGCGUAAAGAGCGUGUAGGCGGCUUUACAGGUCCGUUGUGAAAACUCGAGGCUCAACCUCGAGACGCCGGUGGAAACCGUAAUGCUAGAGUCCGGAAGAGGAGAGUGGAAUUCCUGGUGUAGCGGUGAAAUGCGCAGAUAUCAGGAGGAACACCGGUGGCGAAGGCGGGUCUCUGGGCCGAUACUGACGCUGAGGAGCGAAAGCAUGGGUAGCGAACAGG
rnacentral:rRNA from 1 species